UGUUAAAAAAUUUAUCUAUUUGUAUUGUUCAAAAUUGGCCUAGCAUGCCAUGUGUAUCUCAUGUUGAUAUACAUAAAUCAAUUUUUAAGUACAGAAGAAAUUGAUGGAGUUUUUAACA
rfam:Gossypium hirsutum cultivar TM-1 chromosome 16, whole genome shotgun sequence